rnacentral:rRNA from 1 species
CUUUCCCUCUUUCUUUAUGCCUAACACAUGCAAGUCGAACGGCAGCACAGUAAGAGCUUGCUCUUACGGGUGGCGAGUGGCGGACGGGUGAGGAAUACAUCGGAAUCUACUUUUUCGUGGGGGAUAACGUAGGGAAACUUACGCUAAUACCGCAUACGACCUACGGGUGAAAGCAGGGGAUCUUCGGACCUUGCGCGAUUGAAUGAGCCGAUGUCGGAUUAGCUAGUUGGCGGGGUAAAGGCCCACCAAGGCGACGAUCCGUAGCUGGUCUGAGAGGAUGAUCAGCCACACUGGAACUGAGACACGGUCCAGACUCCUACGGGAGGCAGCAGUGGGGAAUAUUGGACAAUGGGCGCAAGCCUGAUCCAGCCAUACCGCGUGGGUGAAGAAGGCCUUCGGGUUGUAAAGCCCUUUUGUUGGGAAAGAAAAGCAGCAGGUUAAUACCCCGCUGUUCUGACGGUACCCAAAGAAUAAGCACCGGCUAACUUCGUG